rnacentral:rRNA from 1 species
ACGGCUCAGUAACACGUGGCUAAUCUGCCCUUAGGACGAGAACAACCCCGGGAAACUGGGGCUAACUCUCGAUAGGCGAAGAACUCUGGAAUGAGUCUUUACCUAAAUAGUGCAACGUUAUCCUCGUUGCAUCGCCUAAGGAUGAGGCCGCGACCGAUCAGGUUGUUGGCGAGGUAAUGGCUCACCAAGCCUUUCACCGGUGCGGGCCGUGAGAGCGGGAGCCCGGAGAUGGGCACUGAGACAAGGGCCCAGGCCCUACGGGGCGCAGCAGUCGCGAAAACUUUGCAAUAAGCGAAAGCUUGACAGGGCUAUCCCGAGUGCCAUCCGCUGAGGAAGGCUUUUACCCAGUCUAGAACGCUGGGGGAAUAAGGAGAGGGCAAGUCUGGUGUCAGCCGCCGCGGUAAUACCAGCUCUCCGAGUGGUGUGGAUGUUUAUUGGGCCUAAAGCAUCCGUAGCUGGCUAGGUCAGUCCCUUGUUAAAUCCACCGAAUUAAUCGUUGGAUUGCGGGGGAUACUGCUUGGCUAGGGGACGAGAGAGGCAGACGGUAUUUUCGGGGUAGGGGUGAAAUCCUAUAAUCCCGGGAAGACCACCAGUGGCGAAGGCUGUCUGCUAGAACGCGCCCGACGGUGAGGGAUGAAAGCUGGGGGAGCGAACCGGAUUAGAUACCCGGGUAGUCCCAGCUGUAAACGAUGCAGACUAGGUGUUUGGACGGCCACGUGCCGUUCUAGUGCCGCAGGGAAGCUGUUAAGUCUGCCGCCUGGGGAGUACGAUCGCAAGAUUGAAACUUAAAGGAAU